rnacentral:rRNA from 1 species
GACGAACGCUGGCGGCGUGCCUAAUACAUGCAAGUCGAACGAGAGCGACCGGUGCUUGCACUGGUCAAUCUAGUGGCGAACGGGUGAGUAACACGUGGGUAACCUGCCCAUCAGAGGGGGAUAACAUUCGGAAACGGAUGCUAAAACCGCAUAGGUCUUCGAACCGCAUGGUUUGAAGAGGAAAAGAGGCGCAAGCUUCUGCUGAUGGAUGGACCCGCGGUGCAUUAGCUAGUUGGUGAGGUAACGGCUCACCAAGGCCGUGAUGCAUAGCCGACCUGAGAGGGUGAUCGGCCACAUUGGGACUGAGACACGGCCCAUACUCCUACGGGAGGCAGCAGUAGGGAAUCUUCCGCAAUGGACGCAAGUCUGACGGAGCAACGCCGCGUGAGUGAAGAAGGUUUUCGGAUCGUAAAACUCUGUUGUUAGAGAAGAAUAAGUGCUAGAGUAACUGUUAGCGCCUUGACGGUAUCUAACCAGAAAGCCACGGCUAACUACGUG